UUGUUAUCUUCAUGUUUUCAGGCCUCCCCCAUCCCAUAACCUAGGGGGAAUCUCCAUGGCCCUGAUUUGUGUGUGUAGACACUGCUGUUUCCAUUCCUCUUGCCCUUGACCUCUGCCUCUUCACACCUCCUCCCACUCACCCAGCGAGCACACAGCCCACCCAGAAGCUCUUGCGCCAGCAGUUACCUGGCAACAGCGACAAUCACGCUAACAGGCAACAAUGCAGCAGCAGAGACCAGAGAGCUCUGACUCUACCAGAGUCUAAGCAGGAAAGGGAAGGGGGAGAAAUGGCUCUUUUUAUCAACGGCUUUUCGUCCCCACCCACACUGUUUUCCUGUAUCACACAUUCCAUGUUCCAGUGCCCAACUGCCAAUUUCUAUCAUCACCUGGGUGAAACUAGCCUCUAAUCGAGAGUUUAAUGACAGCCACAGAGAUUCAUGUGGAAUUGUGUACUUGGGGAGACCCAACAAUCAUCCCCCUUAAUUCCAAUGUAGAAUGCUCAGGAGUUAAUCAAUCCUGGUUUCCAUCUGUGCACAUGUUGUGUUGCAGUCCAAGGAUGUACUUGACCACCCAACUGGCCUGCUGUAGUAGAGUACCAAGUGCUGUGUACUCAGAAACAUGGACAAGCUAUUAUCUUACUUCUUGCUUCCCUGAUCACAAUUCUACACAGAAUCCUGGAAAACUGCGUAAACACCCACAGGCCUUGGAGGAUGUUAGUGUCAAUUUACUGGGAAGAUGACCCCUGAAGACCCUGUAAUCCCCAUCAUUCUGUGAUUCAAAGGGAAAAGCAAUAUGGCCAUGUGAGUCAGUACAAACAGCAUGGGAUUUGGAAUGAGAAGACCUGAACUUCAGUCUUGACUUGACUGUCCACUCACUUUGUGACCUCAAAGAAGUCGAAUGAACAUGUAUUGAGCCUAUGUCUUGCAGCAAGUACUGACUUAGGAUUUAAGGAAAUAAGAUGACCAGACUUGGGACAUGUCCUGAAGUGGGUCAUUGACUCAUGGAGCACAGAGAAUUAUAAACAAUUUCCUCACUUUUUCCUUAUAUAUAGACUGAGCAAACUAACAGCAACUUCUUAGGGUUGUGAGCAUCAAACAAGAUAGAGGUUGUGAAAAGGACUCAGAGACUGUAUAAUAUGUCACACAAAGUUAGUGGUAAUUAUUAAUGCUAAGACUGAACUCAUAAUAACUCAUAGAUAUUAUCAUGGUCAUCACCUACAUGAUAUGAUCCCUACCAACCUCUCCAGUGUCAUUUCCCACUAGCUCUCUGUCCUUCUUGGUUGAACAGACCAAAAUAUUCCUGUCUCAGGGUCUUUGCAUUGCCUGAAAUGUAUUUACCCCAGUUAUCUGCACAGUUAAUUCUUUCAUUUUAUUCACACUUUUACUCAAAAGUUAUAUUCCCCAUGGAGAGCCUCUCUGCUCAGCAUAUCUAAAAUAGAAACAUGUGUAUACACACACAAUGCACACACAUACACAUGCAUACAUACAUGCACACAACAUACAUGCAUAUAGACAUGCUACAUACAUAUACCCACAUAUGUAUACAUACAUAUACACACAAGACACAUGUGCACGUAUGUAUGCACACACUCUCUAGUUCCUUAUCCUGCUUUGUAUUUCUUCAGAGUACUACCUCUUCCUGAAACUAUGUUUUUAUAUGCUUGUUCACAUGUAUGUUAUCUGACUCCCCACUGUAAGCUCUGUGAGGGCAGAGACUUUGGCUUGUUCAACAUUAUAUUUCCAGUCCCAGAACAGCUCCUGACUCAUAAUGUAUACUCAAUAAUUAUUGAGAUAUAAUUCAUAUACCACACAAUUCACCUAUUUAAAGUGUAAAAUCCAAUGUUGGUUGUUUGUUUUUUGAGACAGGGUCUUCCUCUCUCAUCCAGGCUGACAUCACUGCAGUCACUGCAGCUUUAACUUACUGGGCUAGAGAGUAGCUGGGACAGCAGGUGCACGUCACCACACCUGGCUAGUUAAAAAAAAAAAAAUUGUGGAGAUGGGGUCCCACUAUGUUGCCCAGGCUGGUCUUGAACUCCUGGGCUCAAGCAAUCCUCCCAGUGCCUCCACCUCCCAAAGUGUUGGGAUUACAGGUGCAAGCCACCAUACCCAGCCCAAUUCAUUGUUUUUUGACACAAAGUCAUGUGCCACAUAAUAAAGUUUCAGCCAACAUUAGACUGCAUAUAAGACGGUGGUCCCGUAAGUUUAUAAUGGAGCAGAAAAAUCCCUAUUGCCUAGGGACAUAGCCAUUGUAACGUUGUAGUAACGUAUUACCUUUUCUAUGUUUAGAUGUGUGUAGAGACAAAAAUACCACUGUGUUAUAAUUGCCUUCAUUAUUCAGUAUAGUAACGUGCUAUGCAGGUUUGUUGCCUAGGUAUGUAGUUGGCUACACUAAAUUUGGAUAAGUACACAACUUUUUGUUGUUUCACACAAGAACAAAAUCACCUACUGAUGCAUUUCUCAGAAUAUACUGCUGUCAUUAAACUAUGCAUGUCUGUAUUUACAGAGUUGUCCAAACAUCAUCACAAUUUUAGAACAUUUUCAUCACCCCAGAAAGAAACCCAUACCUGUCAGUGCCACUCUCUAUUUCCCCUUAAGCCACCCUACCACCCCCGACCCUUGGCUUAGGCAAUUAUGAGUCCACUUUCUGUCUCUAUAGAUUUGUCUAUUCUGGACACUUCAUAUACAUGAAAUUACACAAUAUAUGGUCUUUUUGAAAUUAAAUUUUGAUGAAUGAACAAAUUACUAAAUCCAGUUCUUUGCCACACCCUCUAGAUAUAAAUAGUUCUUCAGAAAGUUUCCUUUCAUGAGUUUUGAGCAAUCUAACAUUCAAUCUGCAAGACAGAGAAUUGGUCUGACCAAAUUACAACAAAAAUCUCACUUAUUUAUGGUGUGCUUUUGUUUAUUUUUUAAUUGUGACAUUUUGACAGACAUUGAACAUCAGCUUUCCUUUGCCCUAGAAACAGAAAAAAAAAGAAAGAAUUGACAGAAUAAACACAUAAAAUGAAAUUCUGAAGGGGCUAUUUAUUUACUUAUAAGAACCAACUGUUUUCAAACAUUCUGCAUUGGAAAUGAUUUAAUUCUAAUCUAAGCAAAGGCCAGCAAGCCUGGUACUCUAAUAUGUUGAUUACAAAUCAUUCUCUAUUCUUUAAAGCAGAACCUUGAUUGGGCAACUUUGGUAGAUGUAAUUCCACGCAUCCAAGGACUUGAAAGUAAUAAAAUGGCCUUUUAUUAUUUACAAUAAUUUCAUAAUUGACUUCACCAACGAGACUGACUCUCCCUUUCAAUUAUUUUAAAUCAGUGAGAUUCUACCACAUAAAUACCCUCUUCUCCAACAAUCAUUGUUAAACCAUUUGUCAUAUUUGAUUCACAUAAAGGCAAAUGAUAUUAAGUGUAUAAGUUAAACCACGAACUAAGUUCUUAGAAUUGGAAUGGAACUUUAGGGCAUUGAGCAUGAUCUUUUACCCAAAGCUGAAAUCCCUGCCAUAGCUUCCCUAGCUUGAAAUAUCCCAGUGACAGGAAGAACAUCAUUACUUGAGACAGCCUCCACCAUCAUUCUCAACUUUAAUGUUCAAAUAUUCAUCCUUCUAAUAAACUCCUCAAGUAUCCUAAAGAUUUUUUCCACAUGUACAUCACUUUCUCCCUAUCCUGACCUUCUUUUAGUCCAACUUCUGCCCUCUUGGGUAAAGAAGAGGAUACAGGAUACCUGUUUAUUCCUGUUCGGGGCAAGUGAGUCCCUCAAAUAUCUGAAGACCCCUUGCUUGCCUAGAAAUUCUUCCCUGGGCUAAACAGCCCCAGGCCAUCUUACAACUUGGUUUUCAGACUCCAUCUCCAAAAUACUGCCACCCCAGGUACCACCUUUCUGAUCAUCCACCAAUCCACUGCUAUCCUUUAGUACAAAUCUGCAAAAUGGGC
ensembl:lncRNA